UCCCUCAUAGCUCAGUUGGUAAAGAAUCUGCCUGCAAUGCAGGAGACCCGGGUUCGAUCCCUUGUUUGGGAA
rnacentral:tRNA from 1 species